CGAGACUCUGUCUCAAAAAAGAAAAGCUAAGGACCAGGUGUUUUUCAGUGACUUACCCAAGGUCACAUCCUUACUCAGGAGCAGAGUUUAGGCAGUGUUCCAGGUCUUCUACUUCUAAAUCCAACAAUGUUCAGGGAGCUCUUCAUUAUCUGAUCCCUGUCUACCUACCACUUUCUAUGGUGAUACCCAGUUCCCAGCCUUGCUGUCCUUUUUCUCCUCUGGCACGUUUGUCUUCAUAUUUUGGGGCCUUUGCCUACACUUAUCCCACUUAAAAGCCUUUCCCUCACUUAACCUUCUCAAAUUCUGACCAAGAACUGAUAACUUGCAACUCAUGAUUCAAGACCUUACUGAGGAGUCUGCUCCUUUAGAGUCCAGUGUGUGUCCUUCUAAUACUCCUUGAUAUGGUUUGGCUCUGUGUCCCCAUCCAAAUCUCAUCUCGAAUUGUAAUCCCCACAUGUCUAGGGAGAGAUCCAGUGGGAGGUGAUUGGAUCAUGGGGGCAGUUUCCCCCAUGCUGUUCUCAUGAUAGUGAGUGAAUUCUCAUGAGAUCUGGUGGUUUUAUAAGGUGCUCUUCCCCCUUCACCACUCAUUCUUCUCUCUCCUGCCACCUUGUGAAAAAGGACGUCUUUGCUUCCCCUUGUGCCAUGAGUGUAAGUUUCCUGAGGCUUUCCCAGACACAUGGAACUGAGUCAAUUAAAUUCUUUUAUAAAUUACUGAGUCUUGAGUAUUUCUUUAUGGCAGUGUGAGAGCGGGCUAAUACAGUCCUUAUCACAUUUUGCUACUAUUGUGUUUGGAUUUGUCUCACCUUGUGAACCUGAGUGAGCUUCUUGAGGGACAGGUUCGGUGUUUUGCUCAUCGUUAGCACAAUACCUAGCAUGCAUGCAGCAGAUACUCAGUAAAUAAUCGUUUACAUUUAAAUGACCAUGAAAAUGGGUGAAUCUCAUUUAGUAACUUUAAAAAGGGACUAUUUGUUGUACAAAUAACCUGUUGGCUACAAACUAAACCAAUAAUAUAGCCAAGAAAGAUGUUGGCUAGAAUUGCAGCAAGUCAUACGUAUCGCUAAAAUAAAAUCCAAAGCAGCAACCUCGGAGAAGAAAGACAUCAUCUUGGAACUACUGGGCAUGCAGCAGGUAAGUGGAACAUCCUCUGUACCCUCCUUCCCUGCAGCUGUCACAGUGAGUCCAUGUUUCCUUGACUUUUAAUCAGAGCCACUAUCCAAUGUUAACAACACACAUACAAAAGCAGCAGCUAUUAAUAUAAGCAGAAGACAAGAGGGUUUUCUACUUUUCUCACUAAGGAAACCACAUUUUGAUAAUUCUCCAGGUGGUUACAAAGAACAAACUCAAGCAAGAAUGCUGGACUAAACUUAGUCCAAAAGGCUAAUUGUGGAAUGAGAUGGAAAAAAAGAACAAAGGUCAAUGGAAGAGAAUUGUUGAAGUCCUAACCCCCAACAUCUCAGAAUGUGGCUUUAUUUGAAGAGAGGAUUACCUUUGCAGAGGUAAUCAAGUUAAAAUGAGGUCAAUAUAGUGAGUCCUAAUCCAGUAUGGUUGAUGUCCUCAUGAAAAGGAGAAAUUUGAAGACAGACACACCAAAGGAGAAUGCCAUGUGGAGACACAGGGAGAAGUUGGCAAUCUACAAGCCAACGAGAAUAGCCUGGAACAAAUUCUUCCAUCACACCCCUCAGAAGGAAUCAACCCUGACUGCACCUCCAUUGCAGAGUUGUAGCCUCCAGAACUGUGAGACAAUACAUUUCUGUUGUUUAAGACGCUAAGUUUACGGAGUAAAUUUCUGCUUGUUACAGCAGCCCCAGGAAACUAUUACACUCCACCUCAGCAUUUUCCUCCAGGCAUCCCUCAACCCUGUUCUUCCAACAUUUCCCAAGAAAGAAAGAAAAAAAUAUUACUUCACAUAUGUAUAUUAUAAAUCUUGCCAUUUCAUUUGCCUUCUUUUAACAUCAGUGGGUAAUCUUACCUCACAAAGUUAGAUGUAAUAUGGAAAAACCUCUACAAUUUUCAAACCCAUAAUAAUCAAGUUCUAUAAUCACCAAAAAAGAAAAGUACAAAAGAAAACCAAUGGUGAGAACUCUUAUAAAGCAAGUACAAAGACAAAAUUGGCUAUGCACUAUCAUUAACAGAAGCUAUCACGGCUCCUUUGUAAUCUUAAGCAGCUAUUCCAUGAUCUUUUCUCUCGCAAUGAUGAACCGAACUUUUGAUAAAAUAUUUGAUCUCCUUUUAGCCAAAACUCUUCUUUAUAAGCCCAUUUAAUAUUCCAGAAGGAUUUUCUUUCGUUUGAAGAAAUAUAAGUUUGACAUUCUAAAGGCAUUUGUAUUUUAAAGCCUACAAAAAGAUUUUUGGAGAGUACCUGGUGAAGUACCGACUUGCCCCUGUGGCUCAAAAGUUCAAUUAUUAUAGACAUUUCACUCAGAACAGCAUUUCUGUCUUUUA
rnacentral:lncRNA from 1 species